rnacentral:rRNA from 1 species
CCUACGGGAGGCAGCAGUGAGGAAUAUUGGUCAAUGGUCGCGAGCCUGAACCAGCCAAGUAGCGUGAAGGAUGACUGCCCUACGGGUUGUAAACUUCUUUUAUAAAGGAAUAAAGUGAGGCACGCGUCCUUUUUUGUAUGUACCUUAUGAAAAAGCAUCGGCUAACUCCGUGCCAGCAGCCGCGGUAAUACGGAGGGUCCGAGCGUUAUCCGGGUUUAUUGGGUGUAAAGGGAGGGAAGAUGGGUUGUUAAGUCAGUUGUGAAAGUUUGCGGUUCAACCGUAAAAUUGCAGUUGAUACUGGCAGUCUUGAGUACAGGAGAGGUAGGCGGAAUUCGUGGUGUAGCGGUGAAAUGCGUAGAUAUCACGAAGAACUCCGAUUGCGAAGGCAGCUUACUGGACUGCAACUGACAGUGAGGCUCGAAAGCGUGGGGAUCAAACAGGAUUAGAUACCCGAGUAGUC